rnacentral:hammerhead_ribozyme from 1 species
GUCCUGCUGACGAGUCCCAGAUAGGACGAAAUGCAUAUCCUGGUGGAU